CCCUUAGAUGUCCUGGGCCGCACGCGCGCUACACUGAACGGAUCAGCGCGUUUUCCCUUCCCGAGAGGGACGGGUAACCUGCUGAACCCCGUUCGUGGUAGGGAUCGGGGCUUGCAAUUAUUCCCCGUGAACCAGGAAUGCCCAGUAAGUGCAAGUCAUAAGCUUGCGUUGAUUACGUCCCUGCCCUUUGUACACACCGCCCGUCGCUACUACCGAUUGAACGUUUUAGUGAGGUACUCGGACUGAGCCUCAGACGAUUCACGUCUUUUGUGCUGCUCGGGAAGAUUCCCAAACUUGAGCGUUUAGAGGAAGUAAAAGUCGUAACA
rnacentral:rRNA from 1 species